CAAGAGUAAAGUACUUCCGCUUCCUUAGGUGGAGCUGGAAAGGUGGAGGCGGAAGUGACUGAUCAAUUCAGGGGCGUGGGGUUCGUUUAGGUUUUGCCCUGUGUAUGACCUCGUUUGGAGCCAUGAAACCAGGAAGCUCUUCCACGAGUUCACGAAUGGAAAUAACAUCAAGAGUUUUUCAUCUUCUUAGUGUGCAAGGUUAUUUUAGGGCAAUGAUGGAAAGCACCAAGUGGAGUCUGGAGCUAGACUGAUCUGUGUUCAAUCCCGUCUUGGUUACUCAUUGAGGAGCCUCGACUUUCAUGUCUCUGUAAUGUCGCUGACAGUAUCUGCCUCACAGGGUUGCUGUAAGAAUCAAGCGAGAUAAAUAUCAAGCAGUGCAAUUCCUGGAUUUAUGGUAAGAAUACGUUUAGUUUCGUAAGAAACUCACGAGCUUUCUUCCAGAGUGGCUGUAACCUUUUGCAUUCCCACCAGCAAUUAAUGAGAGUUUCUGUUGCUCCACAGUUUGCUUAUUCUAGGAAAUACGUAGUGAUAUCUCAUUGUUUUAAUACUUAAGGCAUUUUUAAAGAUUGAUAAUCUUCUCACAAGUUAAGACUUCCAUGAAAGAAUGAACAUUUGCUAAAAGAUCUCCAGGUCUAGAAAAUCAAGACUUUUACUAUAGUAAGAUUUAAUUGUUGCAUUUUAAAGGAAACUGUUGUAACUAUAGAGUGGUUAGAAAAUUAUUAGGAGAAAAAAAGAAAACUGAAAAUGCUAAAGUAUCAACCUAACUGCUUUUCGAAUGCUCAGCCCUAGAAAAAGAGGCUGUUUGGGCUUUAUUUAUCUGGUUGUGGCCAUUGGAUACCCACAUGUGUUUGCCAAAAAAAGACCAUGGGCAACAACACUGCAGAGAGUAAAUCCAUAGAAUGUUUAAGCCUAUGUUUUAUGGUAAUAUGUUUAGUCUAUAUCGGAUUGUAUGUUAUCUUUUCAAGAUGAUUGCAAUCUUAUUAGAAUGAUAAUUUAGCAGUGAAACUUUACAAAUGCAAACUAGCUAACUGGACUAUUUUUGAAUAUGGCACACACAUCAUUGCUAUAAAAUUUUUACAGGUCCCAUUUUAAAAGUAUCAUACAUGAAGACUAAACUAUGCAAAUCAUGUUGACACUAUUAUCAUUUUAUUACUCAUAUUCUUAUUAAUCAAACUUCCCACGUUGAAUCAAAAUCAUCACUGUUUCCAGGUACCUGAUGUUAACUGAAAUUUAGUACAGGCAUUAAAGAAGUAAGAUGUCCUCUUAAGCUAUACAUAAUUAUUUGUUGGCUAAUUAUUAAUUGGCUCAUUAUUAAUUUUUAUAAAAGCAAAAGAAUGAAACCAGCAUUCUGGUCUUAAUUUUUUAUUUCUGAGAAAGUCUCAUAUUGGGUUAACAAAAGGAAACUAUAUUUUAGAGCUAUAAAAUUAUUUCAGUAGGACAGUUAAUCAUCCUCAAAGUAAAACAGAUAAAGUUUACUGCUAGCAACAGCUUGUUUUGUAAUUAUCACAAGGGAACAUUUUUCCUAAACCCUAAUUUCAACAGAUAUUGGUUUAGUUUAUCAGAAUUUCUCAUAUUUGUGUUUUCAGGUAAGGCAUUAAGUUAUUACUGAAACACAAUGGUGUCUGAGUUCUUAUGUAUUACAAACUGAAUGAGGAGAUGGAACCAAAAUUAUAUCUCAUUCUAGUGAAAAUAACAGCAACAUUUCUUUCUUUAAUAGCAUCCCAGGGGAGGCCCAAACUGAUUUGCACUCUGUUCUCUAUUUGUACAGUUAAUUAAUCCAAAAGAAGCAUUUAGUAACUUUAAUUUUUUAGUCUGUUUAACUUUAAUUUUUAAAGUUCCCCCUUAAGAUUGCAUAUUGCUUAGCAGACAAGAACAAAAGAAGUUGAUUUGGGAACUCAACUAUACUUAAUAAGGGCAUGCAUUAACUUAUUCUCAGCUGUGGAAACCUAUAGUUUUUUUCUUCUCCUUCCCUCUGUCCUUCACUCUCCUUCUCCCUCCCUUUCUUUUUAUAUGUAGAUAUAUGUAUAUAAGGGAGAUGACAGUAGAAUAAAAUGAAAUUGGAUGUUGUAUUAGUUUCCUAUUGCUGCUCUGUCAAAUUACCACAAAUGUAAUGGCUUAAAACAAAGCAAAUUCAUUUUCUUACAGUUCUGGAGUUCAGAACUCCAAAAUGGGUCUUAGUGGGCUAAAAUCAAGGUGUCAACAGGGCUAUCUUCCUUUCUGGGGGCUCUUGGGUGAAGGUUUUUACUUGACUUUUAAUAUAGUAUUAAAAUGAGACUACAAAAUGGAAUUAACUGUUUGAAUGACAUUUUAAUGUAAUACCUUGCCUUAAAAUUAUCCUUUUACCAAAGGUCGUGAUUAAACAGGGGUUAAGAUUCAAAGGUUGGACAUUUGUACUGUGAUUUCAAAUUAAAAAUCUUUUUAGAUUUAAUCUGUUAAUAAAGCUUAAAAUACAAGUUAUCUUAUCUCAAGUUAUUGAUAGUAGAAUAGAAACCCGGUGACCCUACUGAACCAUAUUCUUCCUGCAACCAGAAAUUCUGUAAAUACAGAUUCCUCAUUGCCUGUAUUCUCUAUAGAUGCUGACCCACAAAGUCACGUAUAAUGAGAGCAUAGCAGGAGUAGUAACCUUGUCAUUUUUCUCAAAGUUUCAGCCAAUAGUUUCUGGAUAUCAGCAAUAGAUUCAACAGAUAGAAGAACAACAAGUGACUCUCUUAAAAUUCUAUGACCUCAAUAGAGUGCAAAAGUAAUGAAUGCAUUCCUCAAGAGAGGUGAUGUGGUUGAAGUAGCAGCAAGUUCAAAUUUGUCUGGCAGCUCUGGAUAAUAGAAAGUUAUUCUGAUUCCAUACCUAAAUGAAUUUAUUUGUUGUCUGUUUGCAAAUGUAGUACAUAUAACAAGCCACGUGUAUGUGACAGUUGAUACAUAGAUUUGACAGAGGGUUCAUACUCUGGUAUCGUUUAGUGAAUUAUAUCAAUCACUCUAACAUACUAGAAUUUUUAAGAUUUGCAAACAUGUCAUUUUAAGAAUAAAAUACAAGACAGCAGCAUUGAAUGGUGGUUAAAAAGAACUGACUCUGGAAUCAGACUGCUUAUUUUAAACCUAGUUGCACCAGUUACUCAUGAUUAUUUUGUCUCUUUAUACCUGAGAUUCUCCACCUGCAAAGUGGGUAUAAUAAUAGUUCUUAUUUUUUAGAGUUACUGUGAGGAAUAUAUGAGGAAUAAGUGUGAACAAUGUAGCAAAUCUGUACUUGAAAAGCAACCCAAAAUAUUAACUACUGUUUCUAUAUAUAAACUGACUUAUUAUAUAUGUUUAAUCUAGAGUUAUAAGGCAGGCAAAGUCAUGUUCAAGAAAAGAAGUUAUAAGUUUUUCCAAUUAAAGAAGUUCCAAAACAAGAAGUAGAUUUUGUUAGUUUCUUGUUUUAAGCCAACAUCAACUUUUAGCCUGAAAGCUUCAAAAAAUAGAAAAAUAACUAUGAUUUUGUUAACUGUAACUUGCAUAAAAUACCCAAAGAAUUCAGCAAAGAGACUUAAGAUGUUCAAAGAUUUUAUUAACCAAACAUGUACAAUGUAGUAUUUGAAAUUUUUAAUUUAUUAAAUUUUGGCUUUUAUGUUAAAUUUAGCUUUCAUUUUUAUAGAACACAAAUCUAAAAAGAUAUUUGCUUACAUAAAUUGACUUUAAGUAGUGCAAUCAUUAUAUUCUUUCUGAUGCCAGGCAUAAAUAUUUUUAACACCUAGCACUGUAUCCAAGUAGAAAGUGAGAUUCUAGUCUCAGUUAUAGUCUAGUUAUAGUGUGAAAACUUCCAAGUGCAUGUCCUCUGCCAAUUGAUCACAUCAGGGAGCCAAAUGUACUGGGUCCAGGAAGUCAGUGAAAGGAGACAUUUGUUAUAGGGAUUAGACACUAAUAUCUGGGUACUUCAGCAGAAUGUACCGAAAGAUUUUUCCAGAAAAGGGGAAAAUGGUCUUAGUAAAAAUUAUCCUCAGCUAUGCAAUGAGUUAUCCAUAUAUGAUGCUGUACUGUAUACAUCUCUUUCCAUGUCUCUUUGAUUAGGCUGUAAAUAUCACUUUCUCAUUUUUCAUGAAGAUUGAUUUUUAUGGUUUUGUCAGUCUAUGUUUUUAUUUGUCUUUUCCUCAUAGUAUUAAAACUUUUUCUAUUGUUAUUAAUGACUGGUUUCCUUAAAACAUACAGCAAAUUUGCAGUCAGGAAAGGAUAAAGCCAUAAAACCAAUGGAACAAAAUUUGGACAGAGCUCUGGAUUUUAGUCCUCAUGGUACAUGAUGAUUUUGAGUUAUGCUGCAGUUCCCAGACUGCUCCGCAUGUAAUAUGUAGCAAGGGAGCCUGAUGUUUAGAUGAAGAAAAUAAUAAAUACAAUAAAAUAAUGUAGGAGGAAAGCCAUGACAGAAAUCCUUUAUCAUUAUUUAUAAUAGUAAGCCAUUUUACAGAGUCAUACUGGUCCCAAAAACAGAGAGCAAGAGUUAAUUCUGGAGGUAUUGUGAUAUCUCAUGGUGUUGACUAUGAGUUUUUACCAUGGGUUGCAAAACCACAUAUCAUGCUUUUCCUUGAAGCGUAUCAUUAUUUUUUGUCUUCAUGGGGCACAAACUGGUGCUUUUAUCUUCCAUGGUACAUGUUAACAUUUGAGCUGGAUGAAGAAAAUAUGUUCUUUGAAUUGUGCAUCCUCCUGAUGAAACUGUAGCUGUCAGCUUAAAGUUUAUGAUGUCAUUAUUGGUCAUUUCAGUGACAAACAAAACCUUUCUAUGGAAAAUUCACAGUGCUUUGGGUCUAACCAGGAAAUGUGAUUGCAGAAUACUAAGACUGGAAGUAGUAUCUUGCACAUUGUGUUGAUCGUUGUAAAAUCUGAGUUGGAUUAAUUAUGCAGACUUGGGAUGAAAAUACUUUUGAUGCAUAGGACUUCCCAAGAGGCCAGCUUUCUGUUAUGUAUCUGGUACUUCACUUUUUAACUCAUUUAACUCCUGAAAAAAAAAUUCAUGCCAAAACAUUUCUGUUUUCUUUAACUGACCAUGUCAAUUUCCACCUUAUCCGCAGUAAUGUUCUCAAAUAUUAAACUUGACUGCUUAACCUGUGUCAAAACACAUUUCAUGAAUAAUAUUCUAACAAUGUAACAAAGAAGGCUUGUUCAAUUUGUUUUAAGCCUCCUUCUUCUGGAUACCCUUUCAGCUCAUCUCAGACUAACUUAAUUAUCAUUUGUUUUAUGUAGUUUUCUCGAGUGGUAGGUUUUUUCUUUAGCUAGUGAAUGCCUUCCCUGAUUUACUCAAUUAUGCCUUCAGAUGUACACUAUGUAAGUCAGAUCACAAAUAGCACUUAUAUUCAAUAGCAUGAAUUGAUUGGCAUUUAUAAAUAAAAUAUUUGUAUAAUGUAAUUCUGUUGCAAAGCUGUGUAUGUUGCAUGACUUUUUUGACUUUUGGUUUUGAUACAUUUUCACCAUAGCUAAGGUGAUCAUGUAAUUUAUUACUCACAUCAGAACAUUUAGAGAUUUAAAGAGGGAGCUAUUAAUAAUUAUGCCAGGUCAUCAGAUGCGAACUGAGACAGUCCCAGGCAAAUUAUAAUGUAGAGCAAGAAUCUGCAAACUAUGUCCCAUGGGCUACAUUCAGGCCACUUCCCAUUUUUCAACAGCCCACAGGCUAAGAAUGAUUUAUGCAUUUUUAAAUGGUUGGAAAAACACCAAAGAAAAAUAUCUCGUGACAUGUGAAAAAUGAUACAACAUUUAAAUUAGAGUUUCUAUCAAUAAAUAAAGUUUUAUUGGUAUACAAAUAUAUCAAAUCACUUAUAUAUUAUCUAUGACUGCUUUCAUGCUACAAUGGCAGAAUUGAAUAGCUACAGCAUACCAUAUUGUCUAAAAUAUUUACUGUCAGAAUCUUUACAGAAAAAGGUGUACUGAUCCCUGAUGUAGAGUAAUCCUAACCAUUUCCCAAGUUGGUCUAUGAGUUUCAGUAAGACAAGAUCCUUUCAAGCUCUUUCUUUCUAAUAGUGCAUGUGAAACAGUAUGUUGUUAAUGCUUAUGUUGAUAAUGAUAUUUCUAGUGAUGUAUUUAUCUACUCUGCAGUUUUGUAUUGAGUAUAAACUCUCCCUGGUCACAUUUUUUAUUCCACCAUAAAGUUUGCAAGAUCUUUUAUUAACAAUAUUCAAGUGUUAAUUUUGAUAUGAAUUAAAAAUAUGUUCUUCAAGAAUCAGUUUCCCAGUGUUUCUAUUUUCUCUGACAAUAAAUUACUGGUAAUGCCUUAAAACAGUUUUAGUUUUUGUCUGAAUGUUUUACAAAGUGUACGGUAGAACAAUAUUUUAAAGUAACUUAAUUCUGUGUCUCUGGUAUCAAAUCAAAGGGGUUAUAAGAAUUCUUCUACCUCAUUGUUCAGUAGGCAAGAUGGAUGCAUCCUUUAAAGUAAAUAGUACUUGUUGGCUAAGUAACAGGUCAAUAGCUUUCUUAAUAAUAGGCACUGUUGCUCUUGAGCCACUUGCAAAAUUGUUGUCUAGUAAAUCUACCUAAACUGUGUGGUUAUUGAGACUCUUCACCAUCUUUCAGAUCAGGUUGAUUCUGUCAGCUGGCACAUAUGGUACAUUUUGAAGAGCUACAGAAUAUAAAACCCACGUAGUUAUAAAAAGUAGAUUAAUUGGUGAUUAAAUUACCAGUUGAAUAAGAACAAAGAUAUUGCCCUUAUACCUUUUGUUUACCUAUUAGAUAUCCAAAUGUUGACGUUUGUGAAAUAUGGUAAUACAGUACAGAUCGCAAAUGACAGCCAGUGUGAUCUGGAAACCUGCUAGAAAUGUGGUCUGAAUUAGUAUUAUUUUGGCCCUGAAAAUAUGCCAUUCGUAUCUUUUCAUUUCUAACACUAAUUACAUAUAAUAAUUCUAGGUUUUAGUGUUAAAAAGAACCCUUCAUGUAUAGGGUACUAUAGACCUAUUCAGUUCAUAUGCCAACCCUAAUUAAAACCUAUCUGAGAAUUCAUUAAAAUCUGGCCCAACUGCUUAACAUCUCUUACAGCACUCACCUUUAGAUGAGAAACACUGUACCUUCCAUUUUUUCCUUUUCAGUUUUUGUUGUCUAAUUAAUGGAAACCAUUAAUUUGGAGGGAUGAAUUAAAAAUGGAGUGAAUAGUAUAGGCUUUGUGCAACUCUCUAAAGAUUUUCUAUGCCAUAAUCAAGGGGAAAAAUGCUUAUUGCAAAUGUCCUGAGCUGACGGAACUGUAUAUUUAGAAUCAUUAAGUCUGUGGUAACUAGUGAAAAUAAAAUGUACGAUGAAGAUAAAAUUAAAUGAAUGAUAGAAUCCAAGCUUUAAUGAUUUAAAAAAAAAAUCCUAACUUUAGUUCCCAAGUCCAUGCUAGCCAAUGGGAAAUAAAACUCUUCCCUUUUUUUUUUUUCUGUUUGGGCAAGGAAAAUUACUGAAUUAAAAUGCUUUAAAUUUUAUCCAAUUUGUAGUAUGAUGAUGGGACUUAGUUGAAGAAUAAUUCUAGUAGACAUUAUAAAUAAUAUGAUAGAAAUACUGAGUUUUUUGCUAUUCAGUGAUAACCAAAAGAAAAUAUGACUCACUGAGUAAUUGAGAAAGAAAAUGUGUCUAUACUUUCCAUGAGGGCAGAAGUGUGAGCACUACUGUCUUUUUACAACUAUACCAAAGUUGUUUGCCUUACAUUCCAGAAUAUAACUGUGAGAAGGAGUCCACAGACAAAAGCCUGACUCCUGUGGGUAAUAAUUAUCAAGGUGAUUCACAAAAAAGCCAUUGCCUUAGCUUUGCACAGGUCAUCUAUUAGAGGCUAAAACUAACAUUCUGCAUUAUUCCUUUAAAGAGAAUGAACAACUUUUACUCCUUGUUGGUUUGUCCUGGGAAUUCUCCAUCAAGGAAUUUUAGAGAUGUUUAGGAUGGAAAUAUUUAGUUUCUUCUCUUGGUUCUAUCUUUAGUCAUAAGGAAUACAUUCGUUGUAUGCAGAAAGUCUCCCAGUAGAUUUACAUUUAAAUCUCUGUCCAGAAACGUCCUUUUGAAGCAGCUACGUUGUCUGGGGUUUAUACCCUGGGGAUUCGUUGUCACAUGCCAGGAAAAUUUAGGACAUGGACACACACAAGGAGUUUAGGAGCAGAGGUUUAAUAGGCAGAAGAGAAGAGAAAGUAGAAACAGCUUUCUCCAUAGAGAGAGGGGUCACUGAGUGAAAAGGGCUGUUGGUGGCAAAUGCCCCAGAUUUUAUAGUCCAGUUUUAAGAGGUGGUGUCUGAUUUACAUAGGGCUCACAGAUUUGUUCUAUCAGGUAUGACAUUUACAGAGUGCAUGGGAAGGCUGGUUGCCCCAUCCUAAUCUUAUUAUGCAAAUAGGCUUUCCAGUUGAUUGGUGCCAUCUUGUCUGCUCCUUACAGUAUAUGUGGCUGACAGAGGGGAAGAUGGAGCUGCCAUCUUGGACAUGUCUAGUUUUGAGUUCCUGCUGGCAUUCACUCAUGCAAGCUCCCAGCUUGCUUGUUUAUGUCUGCAGUUCGACUUUACAGGCUGCUAUUCAUCAGAAAGGAAAAUAGUCUGGGGCUGCUUUUCAUCAAAAAGAAAAGCCUUACCGAGGACUCCCAUACCCUUGCUAUCUACCUAAGUGAUUUCUUAACUCCUAUAUCACUUUCAGCUAAAAUACUAUGAACAGCUGGAACCUGACAAAAAGUGAAGCUCAAAUUGCACGAUUCUGAACACGUGAUUUAAAAAGAUAGGGCAAAAUGUGUUUUUACUUUUUCAAAAUUAUAGUAUUUCCUUCCUAUUUUUACUUUGGAAGUCAUGCUAUUAAUAGUACAGCAAGAGUUUUCAGAAAAUGGAAUUCUUAUAUACAUGAUAUAUUUCACAGAAGUUAGAGACUUUCUUGUCUUCAUCUUCUCUAUCAUGAAACCUUAAAAAAACAAAAAACAGAAAUUCACUCUACAAAAUGUAAUAAUCCUUCAAACUUACUAGUUAUGGCAGAAACUGGUUGGCUGCUAAUCAAGCUGGUUUUCCUUUCUGCUGGGUUCGCAGCUAGGCUUUAGUUCUAAAUUAUUCUUGAAGUUGGAUAUGACAAUGGCCAUGUGACUAAUGUCUAGCUCACUGGUCCACAUUUUGUGGGUGAAUGUAUCCUACUCCUAGUCCUGGCUCAGUAAAUCAAACAGAAUUUAAAAUGUACAAAAAUUUUGGAGCUGAAAGAGUUGGAAAUGAAACUGCCACUACAUUUCCAAAAAUAGAAUGUAAAAUUGAAGUAGCUUUUGAGGGACCAAUGACCAUGAGACCCAGCUCUAUGACAAAGAUAAGAUUAAGGGUGUGGAUUCCUACUGAAACAGGAAUCAGGCUUUCAAAGCCUCUACAAUAGCAAGGGAAGGCCUAAUCUUCCAUACCAACCUCAGGUGUGUCUAUAGAGGAUAAUGGUCAAGGAAGAUGUUUCAGUAGCCUGGAGGGAGGGGGCCAGGGACAGCAAUGGAUAAGGGAGAGUUCCCAGAAACUAGACUUAGUCUAAUAAAGGAAUUUUCUCCUCCAAAUGUGUAGGGACGCUUCAAAAUGUUUCCCUGCAAGAUUUUAUAAAUUCUUGCCACAGUCACGUUUUUUCCUCUUCUGAAUGGAAGCUUUUAAUGUAGUUAUUAUGUUCUUUCACUACCUUCAUAAAUUGAAUAUGUGAUGUGGAAGUAAAGGGUUGAAGUAGAGUUGCCAGUUAAUGAAGAGCCACAUUUGGACUCAAUGAAGAGUUUUCACAUCACUAGAAAAUACUGGACUUUGAUCUGGAUGUGGUCACUGAAUAGAACUUUGAGGGAAUGGAAGAAUGUGUUCUUUAUGUGAAAGCAAAAGAAAAAUGGAUAUUUAGUGAGUAAAAACAGAAUGUGAAGAGACUGGAUACAUUUAACAAAAUCUGUUUUUCCUAUGUUUCUGAUACACGUCUUCCAGCCUUUCUUGACAAUGGAAAAUUUGGCCAAAAGUCUGAGUGUUGGCCUAUUGAAUUGAUUUGGUUUGACUCUGUGUCCCCACCCAAAUCUCAUGUCGAAUUGUGAUUCUGAGUGUUGCAGGUAGGGUCUGGUGGGAGGUGAUCGGAUCUUGGGGGUGGACUUCCCCCUUGCUUUUCUUGUGAUAGUGAGUGAGUUCUCACGAGAUCUGGAUGUUUAAAAGUGUGUAGCACUUCCCCUUUUGCUCUCUUUCUCCAGCUCUGCCAUGAUAAGACAUGCUUGCUUCCCCUUCACCUUCUGCCAUGAUUGUAAGCUUUUUGAGGCCUCCUAGUCACACUUCCUGUACAGCUUCCAGAGCUGUGAGUCAAAUAUACCUCUUUUUUUUUUUUUAAUAAAUUACCCAGUCUCAGGUAGUUCUUUAUAGCAGUGUGAGAAUGGCCUAAUGCAAAAAUGUAGAUAUGAUAUAUGCCAUAUCUAAGCCUAGCCCAUUAAAAACUUCCUAUAUGUUUUUCUACUCUCUCCUUCUUUGCCUUUAGUUAGAUUUUAAAUGCCUAAGUUGACCCUAGAAGCCAUGUUUUGAAGAUAGCACAGGCCCCCUCAGCCCGAGUCCUCGAAUACUUGUAUGGAGGAGUAAACCUCUCACCUCAACUGUGAUAUUUGGCUUUUGUGUAAAUGAGAAAUUUCCAUAGAGAUAAGCCACUGAGAGCUCAACAUUAUGUGUUUUGUAAGGUGGAAUACCUAAAAAAUACAAUAGUCAAAAUAGACAGUUUUAAAAAAUCCAACUGAAAAUAGUAUUUCAUAAGAUAAAGAAAUCCAGCAUAGUUUAUUGCUAAUUUUAGUUGAGACUAUGUUAAAAAUUAUUAAAUUUUGCAUUGUGUUAUUAUCUCAACAACUAAACAACUAUUCUGUUUUUAGUAGUAUUUCUGUUAUUGACAUUAAAAGCUAAGGGAAUUAAUUUCAUAUAUUUUGAUGUGCUAUGGUCUUGAAUGUUUGUGUCCCCCCAAAAUUCAUCUGUUGAAAUCCUAACCAUUAAUGAUGAUAUUAGGAGGCAGGGCUUUGGGGGAUGAUUAAGUCACGAAAGUGGAUCCCUCGGAUUGUUGCUGUGUCUGUGUAGAAAGAAGUAGACAUAGGGGACUCUUUUGUUCUGUACUAAGAAAGGUUCUUCUGCCUUGGGAUGCUGUUAAUCUAUAACCUUACCCCCAACCCCGUGCUCUCUGAAACAUGUGCUGUGUCCACUAAGGGUUAAAUGGAUUAAGGGUGGUGCAAGAUGUGCCUUGUUAAACAGAUGCUUGAAGGCAGCAUGCUCCUUAAGAGUCAUCACCACUCCCUAAUCUCAAGUACCCAGGGACACAAACACUGCGGAAGGCGGCAGGGCCCUCUGCCUAGGAAAACCAGAGACCUUUGUUCACAUGUUUAUCUGCUGACCUUCCCUCCACUAUUGUCUUAUGACCCUGCCAAAUCCCCCUCUCUGAGAAACACCCAAGAAUGAUCAAU